UACGUAGGGGCAAGCGUUAUCCGGAUUUACUGGGCGUAAAGGGAGCGUAGGCGGACUUUUAAGUGAGAUGUGAAAUACCCGGGCUCAACUUGGGUGCUGCAUUUCAAACUGGAAGUCUAGAGUGCAGGAGAGGAGAAUGGAAUUCCUAGUGUAGCGGUGAAAUGCGUAGAGAUUAGGAAGAACACCAGUGGCGAAGGCGAUUCUCUGGACUGUAACUGACGCUGAGGCUCGAAAGCGUGUGGAGCAAACAGGAUUAGAUACCCU
rnacentral:rRNA from 1 species